GAACGCUGGCGGAAUGCUUUACACAUGCAAGUCGAGCGGCAGCGCGGGGCAACCUGGCGGCGAGCGGCGAACGGGUGAGUAAUGCAUCGGAACGUACCCAUUUGUGGGGGAUAACUAUCCGAAAGGAUAGCUAAUACCGCAUAAGUCCUGAGGGAGAAAGCAGGGGAUCGCAAGACCUUGCGCGAAUGGAGCGGCCGAUGCCGGAUUAGCUAGUUGGUAGGGUAAAGGCCUACCAAGGCGACAAUCCGUAGCUGGUCUGAGAGGAUGAUCAGCCACACUGGAACUGAGACACGGUCCAGACUCCUACGGGAGGCAGCAGUGGGGAAUUUUGGACAAUGGGGGCAACCCUGAUCCAGCCAUUCCGCGUGAGUGAAGAAGGCCUUCGGGUUGUAAAGCUCUUUCGGCAGGAACGAAACGGUGGGGGCUAAUACCCUCCGCUAAUGACGGUACCUGAAGAAGAAGCACCGGCUAACUACGUGCCAGCAGCCGCGGUAAUACAUAGGGUGCGAGCGUUAAUCGGAAUUACUGGGCGUAAAGCGUGCGCAGGCGGUUCUAUAAGACAGAUGUGAAAUCCCCGGGCUUAACCUGGGAACUGCGUUUGUGACUGUAGGACUCGAGUGUGGCAGAGGGGGGUGGAAUUCCACGUGUAGCAGUGAAAUGCGUAGAGAUGUGGAGGAACACCGAUGGCGAAGGCAGCCCCCUGGGUCAACACUGACGCUCAUGCACGAAAGCGUGGGUAGCAAACAGGAUUAGAUACCCUGGCAGUCCACGCCCUAAACGAUGCGAACUAGGUGUUGGGGAAGGAGACUUUCUUAGUACCGCAGCUAACGCGUGAAGUUCGCCGCCUGGGGAGUACGGUCGCAAGAUUAAAACUCAAAGGAAUUGACGGGGACCCGCACAAGCGGUGGAUGAUGUGGAUUAAUUCGAUGCAACGCGAAGAACCUUACCUGGCCUUGACAUGCAAGUAGUAGAGUCCUGAAAGGGAGACGAGGUAGCAAUACCAGCUUGCACAGGUGCUGCAUGGCAGUCGCCAGCUCGUGUCGUGAGAUGUUGGGUUAAGUCCCGCAACGAGCGCAACCCCUGUGUCCUGUUGCCACUUAGGCGAAAGCCUAAAGCACUUCGGACAGACUGCCUCGCUUCAACGAGGAGGAAGGUGGGGAUGACGUCAAGUCAGUAUGGCCCUUACGGCCAGGGCUGCACACGUACUACAAUGCCCGGCACAAAGGGGAGCAAAACCGCAAGGUGGAGCAAAUCCAAAAAAACCGGGCUCAGUUCAGAUUGAGGUCUGCAACUCGACCUCAUGAAGCUGGAAUCGCUAGUAAUGGUACAUCAGCUACGGUACCGUGAAUACGUUCCCAGGCCUUGUACACACCGCCCGUCACA
rnacentral:rRNA from 1 species